CAGCAAGCACUACGGCUUGUAACAGCAAAAGGACCAUCAAGGACACAGCGGCUGCCCGUGCAUCCUUCAGCUGCUCCCUUCGCUGCUCUCACCGCGGCCCCGCUCCUGCAUCGCGCGGUUCCCGCUCCCCCAGCCCCGGGGCCGCACGCGUGCGGGGCACGGCCGGCAGUGUCGGAGAGAUGCAAGAGGCAAAAACGAAGCCCCCUGCGGCGAGUCCGGCGAACCCACCUAAGUCAGACAGCUGCUUGGAGGCAUCAGGCACAGAGGUCCGAUCCCGGAGGGUUGCGGGUUCACACGGACGCCAGACCCGGCACUCCAGGGGCAGCGCGGCGGCAGCAACUCCUACACAGCCCUCCCCGGGAGCGCGCCGGCCCCGCCACGAGCACCCGCCCCGCCGCCGCCACUCACCCGCCGCUCCCCGCGCUGCUCCGCAGCGGCUCCUCCCCGCGGCACCGGGCUCCGAGUGCACUCCCCGGGGACGGGACGGGGUGCCGCCCCCGGUGCGGUGCGGUGCGGCAUUGUGCUGCAGGCGGCCCCCGCGGCCCCAGCCACGCCCGUAGCGCUUCCCGCACGUGUGCCGGGUCUGAGUGCCGCCAGGUGCUGCUCGGCAGCCCGAGCUGGGGUCAGAGCUGGGGUAACCAGCUCUGCAACAGCCACCCUCCCCUCACUUGUGCCACCUUGGAUUUGACCACUGAACCAAAGGCAGUGAAAGCUCUGUUACAUGAAAGCAAUGAGCACUGUUUGAAGCAGAAAUGUCACUCACGCCGAGAUGAGAAUUUGUGCCUAUCUAGUGUUUCUGUAACUAACAUGCUACAUGAAAGCUCUGCUAUCCUAGUUCAUUGCUGCAUCCCUUCUUCUGAAGUUAAACCUACUAAUGCUGGAGCUGAUUGUCAGUGCACAUUGACAGAGACUGCCCUGCUCUGCGGCAGGCCUGGCACUCCAGCAGAGCUGAGAGAACUGGUCCAGUGUCAGUGAUACAGCGCUGGGAACAGACAGCUCAUGCCCCAAAAAUGCUGAGUGACCAUCUCCAGUGGAAGUGAAAAUUGGUCCUUUUAGAGAGCAUGUGCACACAGCACUUCCCUACCCAACACCAGUGGAGCAGAGAGAGUAUUUCCUGCUCCCCCUGAGAAACAGCAUGACUGAUUUGCCUCAGUCUGUGAAUGGGCUGUUUCUUCCACGUCAUCCAGCUGUUUUCCACACAGAAAGUCUUCCUGGCUCAUCUGAGCGCUAAACAAAUCCAAGGAGUUACUUUCAGGAAGUCAGGGAUUGUAUUUACUCCUUCACUGUCUUGCAGUGUGCUUUCUAGGGAUACCAAGACUGUUACACUGCAAGAAUCACACCGACCUGCAUUUUCUUUUUUCCCUCCUUCUUCCAAAGCGCACACGGCUUGUCAGGCUGCCCAGCUUGUUUUUGACACUGCCUGCCUUUCAAAACAAGGAGCCCACACUGAGAAUUCACACCUAGACCUUCUCCUGUGGUUCAAAGACAGUGAGACAUCUCCAAACCCUCGCACAGUCACCGCAGACGCCCAUCCCUCCCAGCCCUGUUUGGCACAAUGGAAUGGAAAGCCACCGUCCUGACAGCGAGAGGGAGGCAAUGCUACAGGGGAGUGGUUGGAGUGGCAAGCUCCAGCAUGCUUUUCCUUCUGAGCGGUCUCUGUCUAUCUUAUGCCCCUUCCUGACACAUUUUCUAAAAUUUGGUUUAAAUAAAUAAAUCCCAUUUGGAGCUGUUUUAUGCUGCAGAUAUUUAGACACGUGUCUCCAGGAAUGACAGGAUCUUGAGAGCUUUCAGCCUGCUGUCAUCUUCACGGAGCAGAGUUCUUCCUUGCAGCACGUAGCUGGGUGGCGAAGCAUGCAGCUAGACAGUCAGAAAAAUAAACUGUAGCAUGAUGGAGGUUUUUAAAAUGCCCAUCAGAAAGAUGGUGUGUGCUUUUGAUCUGAGGGCUAGACACAACUCAGGGCAUUCCAAGGCCAGGUGCCAGUUCUCUGCACCUGGAACAGACCUACUCUAGCGACAGCUUAAUCUAAAGUCUGCAGCCAUCGUUAAGAGCAUGUUUGGCCAACUGGAGCUCUGAGAUUGAGGGAGGGAUUUUUUCUGUUUCCUUGGCAC
rnacentral:lncRNA from 1 species